GGACUACACGGGUAUCUAAUCCUGUUUGCUACCCACGCUUUCGUGUCUCAGUGUCAGUGAUGGUCCAGUAAGCUGUCUACACCACAGGUGUUCCUCCUGAUAUCUACGCAUUUCACCGCUACACCAGGAAUUCCGCUUACCUCUCCCAUACUCAAGCACUCCAGUUUUCGGCGCACCCUCCCAGUUAAGCCGGGAGAUUUCACACCAAACUUAGAGCACCACCUACACACUCUUUACGCCCAGUAAUUCCGAACAACGCUCGCUGCCUACGUAUUACCGCGGCUGCUGGCAC
rnacentral:rRNA from 1 species